CAAUUCACAGAAACCAGCUUAUCAGCUUCCAGUUUGGGUGGAGACCAGCUGUUUUGGCAGACAAACCUAGCUACUGCGAAUGGGUCAGCAUGCAGCUGAAGAUGCAGUUCACAGGUGGCAGCUUUACUAGGCAGCACUCAGAGGCUCCUGCUGAGAUUGGGGUCAUAUUGAACAAAUAUAUAGUAAGAAAUAAUCUCUUCCCCAAAGGACUUACAAGCUAACCAGAUGAUGGAGACAAAAGCACAUCAUAUCUACCAGUCAUACUGUAAGAAUAAGGCCUUCGUCUGCAGCCAGGUUAAAAGAGCAGCAGCCAUUAGCUGAGAAGCAGGAAGUCACAUCCUCACAUUCCAUCUAAAUUACAUUAAAACAAUGUAAUACCAGGUUGUUAAGAAGGCAACCCCGUCCUAAUGGCACCAACUAUCACCAGAUAAAGAAACAGAUCUUAAGAUGGUUAAAGAAAACUUAGUUUGAUGGCAUCCUGCCUGGCAAGCAAUCACUUAUCAAUAGUUGUGAGUGUAAAAUCUAUACUUCUUUAUUGUUUUGUCAUUACGAUCCCCACUUCCCUAUUGUUUGUCUGUAUGAUCUCUGUCUGGUUCUUUCAUUGUUUCUGUCUGUUACAUAAUUAAUUUUGCUAGUUGUA